AAGUCGAGGGGUAACAGGGAGUGCUCGCACUCUGCUGACGACCGGCGCACGGGUGCGUAACGCGUAUGCAACCUACCUUCCACAGGGGGAUAGUCAAUAGAAAUGUUGAAUAAUACCCCAUACGAUCUAAAGAUCACCUGAUCAAUAGAGGAAAACUCCGGUGGUGGAAGAUGGGCAUGCGUCCUAUUAGUUAGUUGGUGAGGUAACGGCUCACCAAGACUACGAUAGGUAGGGGUCCUGAGAGGGAGACCCCCCACACUGGUACUGAGACACGGACCAGACUCCUACGGGAGGCAGCAGUGAGGAAUAUUGGACAAUGGAGGCAACUCUGAUCCAGCCAUGCCGYGUGCAGGAAGACUGCCCUAUGGGUUGUAAACUGCUUUUAUACAGGAAGAAAUGUACCUACGUGUAGGUAUUUGACGGUACUGUAAGAAUAAGGAUCGGCUAACUUCGUGCCAGCAGCCGCGGUAAUACGGAGGAUCCAAGCGUUAUCUCGGAAUCAUUGGGCUUAAAGGGUCCGUAGGCGGUUUUUUAAGUCAGAGGUGAAAUCCUGCAGCUCAACUGUAGCAUUGCCUUUGAUACUGAGAGACUUGAGUUAUUGUGAAGUAGUUAGAAUGUGUAGUGUAGCGGCGAAAUGCAUAGAUAUUAUACAGAAUACCAAUUGCGAA
rnacentral:rRNA from 1 species